rnacentral:tRNA from 1 species
GCCUAGUUAGCCUAGUGGUUAAGGCUAUGGAUAGCCAAUCCGGAUACGGCGGGUUCGAUUCCCGUUCCGGUCG